rnacentral:misc_RNA from 1 species
CUAAUGGAAAUGAAUGAAACAUUUUUUUCUUCUCUCUUUCCUAUGCAGUACUGAAAGUUACAACACAACUUCAAGGAAUAAACAUUCUUAAGAGAAUGGAGACUCACCAGACCUGCAAACUAUCAUAUUUAGCUCUAAUUAAUCAGAGUUGUCUGAUCUCUGAGGCUCCUUCCUUAUUGGAUUCCAUGCAUGGGCAAAAAAUUAAUAGUAAACUUGACAAGCUACAGAAAUGACAACCAGCAAGUAGGCCUCAACCAGGGUUCUCUGUUCUCCUUUUAUUUCCGUAGCUACUCACCCUGUCUGCAACAACACGCUUAAAAGCAUGCAAAACUUCAGUUAAUUGAACUUCUCCCUCUCGGCCACAGUGCAUUCUAUUCCUAACUGAACAAAGUAAUAGUGUAAAUCCUCAACAAAGCAGAAAAUUUGGAAUGAGCAGUUCCAUGGGUGAAAUUAGUCUAAAGUAAUGGUGUUCUGGAGUUCAAAUCACAACAGCUAAUCUUAAUUGGUUUGCUAAGUAAAAGAAAUGACAGAUCCUUGAAGUGGCUUCAUCACAUGCAGAUGUAAAAUUCACCCCGCAAGACCACUUUAAGCUGUUCUAUGCCAACCACAAGUUCCAUACAGUAAUAUAUCUUCAGAAUGGCUAAGAAUAUGAAAACAGUCGUCCAGAUUGCCACUAACGAGAGGAUGAAGCCAAAUUGCUGCUAAUUACUACCACUGGCACAUAGUUCACCAAUGUGCUCAGUUG